AAUUAAGCUAUAAGUGUUUACCAUCUGAUUUUCCCACCUUCUCUAUGGUAUUCGCCUAGCAAUUAAACAAUCAAUAGUUAUCCUGUAAGUGGAGAGUGAACCCAUGAAAUUCGUGACCUGGAAAAUGAACCAUUACAUGAGUGGAAGUGUUCAAUGGUCUGGAAAUGAUUGGAGCCAUCAAGUGCACAAUCCUGGCAGUCUGAGUCAUCUUCUAUCCAUCGUGCGGCGGAGGUGGGGAUGAUAUGGAGAUGUGGCCUUAGGACCACCAGGCAGAUGGACCAACUUCCAGGGCAGCGCCACAGGAUCAGAGCAGAAGGAAGCUACAGCCGUCACACAGCACACAGACACUUCAGGCGCGGGGACCGCGGAUGCGCGGUGAGAGGGCUACACCUGUGGCUGAACAAACGGCGCGCCGAGAUGAUAUCAGGCCUGCGUCGGAGAGCGCGCAGUGCCGCUUCCCCUGACAACGUGAACGCUGUUUGUUAUGAAGGAAACAUUAGAUCCCCAAACAAGCAUGAAAAAAGAACCUUUCUUUGAUUCAUCUUUUCCAUUUUGGUUUGCGUAAAGCACUGAGUUUCUCACAUCAGCCUUGCUGUGUGGUUUCAGCACCAGCAAGCCUCGUUUGUGAAAACAGGUGAAGCUUCUUCCCUGGGCCCUUCUGAAGCUACUGUGAACUCACCACUGAAUAACAGUCUGCGUGGGAGAGCGGUACACAGGCAUAUGGAGUGCUGGGCGCUGCUCGCUGGCCUCCAAUGCAUUCUUGACCUCUGACCUUGGUUUUGAAGUCUUCUUUCUCUUCAAAGUUUUGUGCUGGUGAUGACACCUACCAAAUUAGUUUUGAGGUCAUUUAAGAGGACAAGAGGUCCAGUGACCAACGGUCCUCACGAAGCAAAUUUCAGCCAAUGUUCAAAGCUUUUUCUGUGGUAGGCUCUAGGAUUUUACGAAAGAGCAUAAAAACAACAACAAAAAACCCACCAAUAAUCAUAUUUUUCUCCCUAUGGCAGAGAUUAGAGUCUUGUGUAGACCAGUUUGGCCUCAAAUUUCCUAUGUAGGCAAAGAUUAUCUUAAAUUCUUACCUUCCUGCCUCCAUUUGGCAUCACAGAUGCGUCCCACCACAUCCACUAUGUGUGGUGCUGGGGUUCGAACCCAGGGCCUCCAGCAUGCCAGGCAGGUGCUCUUGGAGGUCAGUCCCAAGCCCAAGAUCAGUACUCCUGUAGCGUCCUAAGAGGGUAUGAGAGAGGGAUCUGUAUGAAGCGUCUGAAAUGAAAUAAAAU
rnacentral:lncRNA from 1 species